AGUCAAAUAAUUAUAUUGUACUGUAUAGCCCCAGCAAUAAUACACAGGAUUGGAAUUGGGAGCUCUUUUAAGUUUUGUGUGGAUUAUAUAAUUACAUCAUGGUCGAGAUAUUCUGCAGAACGAACGAAUCUUUUUUCUCCAGGGAUCUGCACAGUCCCUUGGGCAGAUGUUGAGCUUCUCCUAAGCAAUGGGAAAAUUGAGCCUGAAACUGCAGCUGUCACGUGUUUUCCUCGACGCUUGCGUUGGCGAGGAGAAGCUACGCCGAGAACUCCGCGAGAGAAGGGCUUACGGUUACCAGGGCUCGAUACAUUACCGUAUCGUUCCCCUCCACGGCCAAUGCUGGUCCCCAUUCCCGACGCCCUGGGAUGGACGGGCACAGCGUGGUGUGCGGCGAUAUCGAACAGUUCCAAGAAGUAGUAGUAGCCCCAACCGGACCUCUCCAUGAACGAGGUUCCAAUUCCAAUGAAGUAGCCUCCGACGGAAGAAGAACCUUCGAGAGGCGUCAGACCAUUCCGAAAUAUGUAUGGCACCGGAGGGACCUCACCCCAGGGACGAAUUGGCCAGAGAAAAUAUCUGUAUUUAUGUAUUCGGUCGAUGGGCGGAAGGAGCACUGGACGGGGCCCUGUUGCCACAGCAUAAUUGCCACAUGAUUAAUUCUGAAGUCAGACGGAGACCAGGACCAAGACCAAGACCAAGACCAAGACCAAGAUAAAUGCUAAUAGAUAUACAUUUAUGAGGCUGAAGGCGGGGACGGGGCGCAGGCGAUGGCGAUGGCGACCGUUUCCAGGACGCUGGGCAAAUGUUGUGCAUAGCUGAGGAAGGCGGUUGGUGCUUCGGUCAUUUAUCAUUUCGGACAACAGGCGGCGGCAACAACAACAAAAACAACAACAACAACAACAACAAUUACCACGAAUAUAAGUGACAAUUUUCAUACAUUUCCAUGGGCCACACGGCGUAUGAGCGAUGACGACAAUUUUGGCGAGCUCUAGAAGAGGAUUACCAGCGAUGACGAGGACGAGGACGAGGAGCCAGUUCCGUGUCCAACAAAUCGAUAAGUGUUCGAGUCUUCUGCGGGGACGCACAAAAACUUGUUCCGGAGUCCAGAGUCCCCGCCUCCGCCUCCGCCUCCGCCAUAAAGACAUCGGCUUGGACACUUGGAGCUGCUGCCGCCCGUAUACUCGUAUGAGCCGGUAUUAUGCGUCGAAAAUGUGCAGCUGCCAACUGAAUAAAGCCCUGGCCCACCCAGACCCGCACUCCCGCCCACAUAAAGAACCAGCCAGGGACAGGGACAGAGGCAGGGCCAGGGAUGGGACUUCCGGUGGGAGAGCAGCAGAACCUCCUCCUCCUCCUCUUCCUCCUCGACUGCAUGCAAGAAGUCGAGCAAAAAGAGCGAAGAGCAACGGGCCAACGGGCCAACGAGGCACACACUCGGGCGACCGGCAUUUAUGUAAAUUACAAAUUAUUUCGGCUGUAAAAAUUCA